rnacentral:rRNA from 1 species
CCUACGGGGGGCAGCAGUGGGAAACCUCCGCAAUGUGAGAAAUCGCGACGGGGGGAUCCCAAGUGCCAUUCUUAACGGGAUGGCUUUUCAUUAGUGUAAAGAGCUUUUGGAAUAAGAGCUGGGCAAGACCGGUGCCAGCCGCCGCGGUAACACCGGCAGCUCUAGUGGUAGCAGUUUUUAUUGGGCCUAAAGCGUCCGUAGCCGGUUUAAUAAGUCUCUGGUGAAAUCCUGCAGCUUAACUGUGGGAAUUGCUGGAGAUACUAUUAGACUUGAGAUCGGGAGAGGUUAGAGGUACUCCCAGGGUAGAGGUGAAAUUCUGUAAUCCUGGGAGGACCGCCUGUUGCGAAGGCGUCUGACUGGAACGAUUCUGACGGUGAGGGACGAAAGCUAGGGGCGCGAACCGGAUUAGAUACCCGCGUAGUCC